rnacentral:rRNA from 1 species
UACGUAGGGUGCAGGCGUUAAUCGGAAUUACUGGGCGUAAAGCGUGCGUAGGUGGUUUGUUAAGACAGGUGUGAAAUCCCCGGGCUUAACCUGGGAACUGCGCUUGUUACUGGCAGACUUGAGUGUGGCAGAGGGGGGGUGGAAUUCCAGGUGUAGCAGUGAAAUGCGUAGAUAUCUGGAGGAACACCGAUGGCGAAGGCAGCCCCCCUGGGCUAACACUGACGCUGAUGCACGAAAGCGUGGGGGAGCAAACAGG